rnacentral:lncRNA from 1 species
GAACGAUCCAUUCAGGGAAGGUCACACUGAUGCAACCUCAUGAAGCCUGUGUCCUCCGUGUUGAGGGACACAUGAACGGCACUUAUCAAGGCCCUGUUUCCAGAUCAGACUGCAGGUUUGAGCAGAUGUGGCAAGAGCAAGAACUCUGGCCACAUUUUCCCAGAUGGCUCUGGGAGAGCAGCUGGUGACCCAUCUUGCUUUCACGGAUGCACUGAGGCAAAGGGAUUGAGACAUUUUGUAGACUCAUCUCCCAAACUCUGGUUCCUGGCCUCUUCUCCCCAGGAACAAGCAUUCGGCUCUGAUUUUCCUGAGGAGGUGCUGGGGUGUGGAAAUUCGAAAACCCCUUUGGACAAAGAGCUCUGUCUCUAAUGAGCUGCAUGACCACAGGUGGGCAAUUCGCCUGGGGAUCCUGAGCUGGCCUGCAGAGCUGUGAGACCUCUGGGACUCCGUCCAGGAAACAGACACACAGACAAAGGAAUCCAAUCCACAUUCCAAGAAGGGCUUGCCCUGGACACUUCUGCCCCCACUUGGCUGUUCCCACUCCUGACACUGCCCUGGCGCACUGCUCCCACCAUACCAGCCCUCCUCAGGUCUUGGCAUAGUGCCCAUGCUUGGUAUUGUUUUACGGCCUCUGCUGGGGCCGUUCCUUCCAAUGGGGCCCAGUUUCCUUGCUCCCCGUCCCAUGCCACACCCAUGCUUCUUCUUGGUUGGCCCCUUCUCAUUAGGAAGGUCUUGAUCACAAUGUCACCUCUUGGAAAGACUUUCUUGAGCACCCAGGCUAAAGAAGCCCCUUCACCAUCAUUCCCUUGCAUUUUGUAGCAUUGAAUCCGAUUUGUCAUUAUGCGUUUGCAGUUUGUUUGGAGUCUGCUGUACUAGACUAUACAGGGAGUCUGUGGCUUUUUUCCCCCACUGCAUCUCUGGGGGCCUGGCACUGAGCCUGGCACAGGUUCCUGAUCAUUUGGUGAAGGAAUGAAUGAAAACCAAGUCUCUCCUCAGACCCAGGGUUCCCCGAAGGCAGGAAUCUGCCUCUCUUCUCAG